CUAUUACUCCCUCCGUCCCAAAAUUCUUGUCUUAGAUUUGUCUAAAUACGGAUGUAUCAAGUCAUGUUUUAGUAUUAGAUACAUCCAUAUCUAGACAAAUCUAAGACAAGAAUUUUGGGACGGAGGGAGUACAAU
rnacentral:pre_miRNA from 1 species